AGUGAACGCUGGCGGUAGGCCUAACACAUGCAAGUCGAACGGCAGCACAGUAAGCGCUUGCUCUUACGGGUGGCGAGUGGCGGACGGGUGAGGAAUACAUCGGAAUCUACUUUUUCGUGGGGGAUAACGUAGGGAAACUUACGCUAAUACCGCAUACGACCUACGGGUGAAAGCAGGGGAUCUUCGGACCUUGCGCGAUUGAAUGAGCCGAUGUCGGAUUAGCUAGUUGGCGGGGUAAAGGCCCACCAAGGCGACGCUCCGUAGCUGGUCUGAGAGGAUGAUCAGCCACACUGGAACUGAGACACGGUCCAGACUCCUACGGGAGGCAGCAGUGGGGAAUAUUGGACAAUGGGCGCAAGCCUGAUCCAGCCAUACCGCGUGAGUGAAGAAGGCCUUCGGGUUGUAAAGCCCUUUUGUUGGGAAAGAAAAGCAGCAGGUUAAUACCCCGCUGUUCUGACGGUACCCAAAGAAUAAGCACCGGCUAACUUCGUG
rnacentral:rRNA from 1 species